GAUGAACGCUGGCGGCGUGCCUAAUACAUGCAAGUCGAGCGAACGGACGAGAAGCUUGCUUCUCUGAUGUUAGCGGCGGACGGGUGAGUAACACGUGGAUAACCUACCUAUAAGACUGGGAUAACUUCGGGAAACCGGAGCUAAUACCGGAUGAUAUUUUGAACCGCAUGGUUCAAAAGUGAAAGACGGUCUUGCUGUCACUUAUAGAUGGAUCCACGCUGCAUUAGCUAGUUGGUAAGGUAACGGCUUACCAAGGCAACGAUGCAUAGCCGACCUGAGAGGGUGAUCGGUCACACUGGAACUGAGACACGGUCCAGACUCCUACGGGAGGCAGCAGUAGGGAAUCUUCCGCAGUGGGCGAAAGCCUGACGGAGCAACGCCGCGUGAGUGAUGAAGGUCUUCGGAUCGUAAAACUCUGUUAUUAGGGAAGAACAUAUGUGUAAGUAACUGUGCACAUCUUGACGGUACCUAAUCAGAAAGCCACGGCUAACUACGUG
rnacentral:rRNA from 1 species